rnacentral:rRNA from 1 species
UACGGGGGGGGUAAGCGUUGUUCGGAAUUACUGGGCGUAAAGGGCUCGUAGGCGGCCAACUAAGUCAGACGUGAAAUCCCUCAGCUUAACUGGGGAGCUGCGUCUGAUACUGGAUGGCUUGGAUUCGGGAGAGGAAUGCGGAAUUCCAGGUGUAGCGGUGAAAUGCGUAGAUAUCUGGAGGAACACCGGUGGCGAAGGCGGCAUUCUGGACCGAGAUUGACGCUGAUGAGCGAAAGCUAGGGAGCAAACGGG